UUCUCGCUGACGAGCGGCGGACGGGUGAGUAAUACUUAGGAAUCUGCCUAGUAGUGGGGGAUAGCUCGGGGAAACUCGAAUUAAUACCGCAUACGACCUACGGGAGAGAGGGGGCAACUUGUUGCUCUCGCUAUUAGAUGAGCCUAAGUCGGAUUAGCUAGAUGGUGGGGUAAAGGCCUACCAUGGCGACGAUCUGUAGCUGGUCUGAGAGGAUGAUCAGCCACACCGGGACUGACACACGGCCCGGACUCCUACGGGAGGCAGCAGUGGGGAAUAUUGGACAAUGGGGGCAACCCUGAUCCAGCCAUGCCGCGUGUGUGAAGAAGGCCUUUUGGUUGUAAAGCACUUUAAGCAGUGAAGAAGACUCCAUGGUUAAUACCCAUGGACGAUGACAUUAGCUGCAGAAUAAGCACCGGCUAACUCUGUGCCAGCAGCCGCGGUAAUACAGAGGGUGCAAGCGUUAAUCGGAAUUACUGGGCGUAAAGCGAGCGUAGGUGGCUUGAUAAGUCAGAUGUGAAAGCCCCGGGCUUAACCUGGGAACGGCAUCUGAUACUGUUAGGCUAGAGUAGGUGAGAGGAAGGUAGAAUUCCAGGUGUAGCGGUGAAAUGCGUAGAGAUCUGGAGGAAUACCGAUGGCGAAGGCAGCCUUCUGGCAUCAUACUGACACUGAGGUUCGAAAGCGUGGGUAGCAAACAGGAUUA
rnacentral:rRNA from 1 species